GAUUUUGCAACAACACCCCAACAAACAUGGGUAUUUAGGUUAUGUUGCUAUUCAAAAUUACAUAAAAAGUAUGCAAUAAACUGACUCUUCGAAUAGCCCAGGCUACUUUGGACUUGAGACUGAAUAAACAAACGACAAUUCCGACUCCAAGGUCCCAAAUCGAAACGAGCGAUAGGCUAUGGUCUCAUAUUUAACAACAUUUCAGAAGACACACACAGCUAGACAACGAGUGGCAGACAGAGCGACGCCACUUAUGCUACCAAAGACUGUUUUCGAGUCUAAUCGUUGCAAAUCUCAUAUGAUGAUGCAUCUUUCUACAAAAUGGUUUGUCUUCAAUAUCGUUAAGCAAUUCAAUAGGCUAAACAG